AGUGCAUCUGUGGCAGUGACAGCAGCAGUGCCACAGCCAUGGCAAGGCCCAGCUGAUGUGACCUCUGGGGAGGGCACCUUCACACAGGCAGAAAAAGAAGGGUGGGAUUGUUGGAAUGGAAAUAUUUUCCACUAAGAAGUGUGAUCCCGCCUGGUAAGACUUCCUUCAUCCAAAUCCUUUCUGGAUUGCAAGGCUGUCAGAGGCUCAUGGCUGGGAAUAGGUGAUUUGGGCUUGUUUGGGGGGACCAUGUCUGCUUGAGGCUAAAGGAGGACAUGUGGGAGAGCUCCUCAGAGAUUUCUUCUGCUCUGUAUAAGCCACUGGAACAAAAGCUGAGCAAGGUUUCUGGACAGAAAACUGGAUUGAGAGCUGGAGGAAGCAGGAGGGGGGACUGCUGUACCUCCUAUUGGGCAAAUACCCCUUGCUCUUGCCUGCUGGUGGCUGCCUGGUGAUCCUGUCUGGGUUGUGGCCAGAGUGUGGCUCAUGUAGGGGCAGAGGAAAUACGUUAAAUCCAAGUAAAUUCAUGGUACACUGGACAUUUGGGAGCAGCUAAUUCUUAUUUUGCCCAUCAGAAGUCCAGUCCCUCCCUCUGCACCUGUGAUUUAGUAACAGGUACAGUUUUGCAGUCUCAGAUUAGUCUGUCUUUGAGUACAAAAUUAAUUCCGUACAUAACUCGGCUAUGAAGUGAAUGGAUUGAUUGAUGCUGAUGAUUUGAAGUUAUUCUGUUAAGCUGUUUUUGCCAAGGAAGAAAAAUGUGCCAUGAUAUGUUUAUUUGCAUGCUGCAGAGCAUAAAUGAAAGAGCUGAUUGAACUGUUUUUUAUUAAGAAAAAAAAAAAAAGGAAAAUAAUAUCUUGGCUAUCAGUACUCUUUUGUAUCUUUAUUGUCUUUGAUUCUUUAUGGCCUUUACUGGCUUCAGUGGACUUUGGAUCAGACAGUUGCUAAUUCAUCUUCAAAUCUUUACACAAAUGACAACGGCAAGUUCACCAUGUGUGCAAAUUCCUUUAUCUUCUGGGAAAAUGUGAAGUUUGCAUCAUAAACCACAGGCCUACGGUAAGUUCUGAGGCCACUUCUGUCACCCCUACAGAAGGAUCAUCCAACGUGUUUCCUUGCCAAACUGGCAAUAUGAGGAAAAGUAGGCUUUUGUGUGAUGCUGUGUGUGAUGUCAGGUAGCUGUGGGCAAAGAGUGACUUUUAGCAGACACUUUUCUAAGGAAAGAAACAUCCAAGAUGUUGUUUAGCAGGGAAUGAUGGCUGAAGGCAAAGGAAAAGGAUACUCAAAGAUGGAAAAACUGUUACUUUGAUGUGCAAUGGUACCAAACCCCAUGUAAGCAAGGAGUUCAAGGUCCCCCUUAUUUUAAAGUGUUUAGGAUGUGGAGUGAUGCAGGGGUGGAGCACAGGAGACAAAAACUUCUCUGCAUGCUCUCUAAGACUUGAAGACAGCUCUUGAAGGAGCCUCUUGGAGAAAGACAUUUUAAGAAAAAAAGUGGAGAAGUAACUGUCGUGGUGUGGAUUUGGAUCCAGGCAAAGCUUAGCAUCCCUGAUGAAUAAGGACAACUCCUUUGGCAGGUGGCAUGGAAUGGUGUGACUGUCCUGUCCUGUCCUGCUGAGCUGAAAUCUCACAUGAUCAGGCUGAUGUGAUCAAAUGAAUGUUUCUUCCACUUGACUGCAGCUUCUCUGAAAGUAUCAAGCCCCAGUCUCUGGGGUGAAUGUAGAAUUUUGCUCCUCAUUAUUACAGAUUAUUAUAUUUCCUGUGCCAGUCACUGGAAACCUGCCUGAAAAGACAUAGAUCCCCGUGGAGCAGCAGCCAGAACCUGGGUCCCAAAGCAUCCCUGAAAGGGCUGCACGAUGGUAAGUGCUGGGUCAUUCUGAAGCACUUCCAAGCCAUGACUGUUAUUUUUCUCUGCUAAAAACCAUUAAAAAACGCUGAGGAGUAACACAAAUAACAGGGAUGAAAGCCUGAUCUUUGUCAGAGAUCCAGACACUGACUGCAUUGUCGUUUCAGCAGCGGGCAUGUGGCUGACUUAAAGUCAAGGAGGCAAAAUAUUAUAGGAGCACUCAAUGCAGCCUUGGAAAACUAGGAUUUAACCCUUUUUCUGCCUAACCAGUUGCAACUUGGAGUGAACAGUGGCCGUGUAUUUCGUAAAGGAGGAGCUGUUUUUGUUUUUGUUUAAAAAGAGCUUUCAGAUCAGCUGAGUUUGAGCCAAUGCUGAAAACAGAGCUGCCAAAUUUAUCAUUGACCAGAAGAUUUGUAUGGGGCUAAAGGAGGUUGGUACAGAGAGAUUAGAAGCAGAUUAUCAGCAUGCUUUUAGCUUUAUCUGUUUCUAGAAGCAAAUAAUUAGCCUCAGAAACAAAUUCAUCUUAAAAUAAGCUCUAAAAUAUAAAUUAUUGGUGUGAAAAGACUGAUAAAAGUUUCAGGAACUGUUUUUUUUGCCAGAAGAAAUUAAUUCCCCAAGGACUUAGUUUCAAUCAAUGUGGUUCCCGUAACUCUGCUACGAAAAGCCAAUUUCAAGAAACUCAUUUAGUUCCUUAUUUCAAAUCCUCCCUGCAGCCUGCCUGUAGAAGAGGGGGAAAAAAGAAACAGUUCUGAUGACAAAAAUCAUGCAACUUCUGGAGCUUUGUUACAAAAUGGAGAAAAUUGCUUUAUUUUUUCUUUUUUUCUUUUUUUUUUCCUUUUUUUUUUUUUGGUGGUGGGAGGAGGGAGAUAAAGUGGUUUGAUUGACCUUGUUUGCUGAAUUGAGUGACAGGAGCAGCUCCCAGCAGGAGCAUUGGGCUUAUCUCAUCCAGGAGAGAUUGUCACCCAGGGAAAUGAGCAUAAUCAAGCUGAGAAAUGGCAUUAAUUUGUGCUUGUGCCAUGUGUGGUCCUGAUAACUUUGGAAAUGAAGGAACUGCCCAUGGUUUGUCAGCAAUACCCAAGUUUCCUUAUGUUCUCCAUGGCAGCAUGGGUCCCUGAUGUCACCUCUUACAGCUUAAACAGCCAUGUGGAAAGCAUUAUAAGAUUUUUGGCAACAAUGGG